rnacentral:rRNA from 1 species
UACGAAGGGGGCUAGCGUUGCUCGGAAUCACUGGGCGUAAAGGGUGCGUAGGCGGGUUUUUAAGGCAGGGGUGAAAUCCUGGAGCUCAACUCCAGAACUGCCUUUGAUACUGAGAAGCUUGAGUCCGGGAGAGGUGAGUGGAACUGCGAGUGUAGAGGUGAAAUUCGUAGAUAUUCGCAAGAACACCAGUGGCGAAGGCGGCUCACUGGCCCGGUACUGACGCUGAGGUGCGAAAGCGUGGGGAGCAAACAGG